rnacentral:rRNA from 1 species
AUACGGAGGGUGCAAGCGUUGUCCGGAUUUAUUGGGUUUAAAGGGUGUGUAGGCGGCGUAUUAAGUCAGUGGUGAAAGCCUGCGGCUCAACCGUAGAACUGCCAUUGAUACUGACACACUUGAGUUUGGUUGAGGUAGGCGGAAUUUAUGGUGUAGCGGUGAAAUGCAUAGAUACCAUAAAGAACACCGAUAGCGAAGGCAGCUUACUAAGCCGAAACUGACGCUGAGGCACGAAAGCGUGGGGAGCGAACAGGAUUAGAAACCCGGGUAGUCC